rnacentral:tRNA from 1 species
GCUGGUGUGGUUCAAUGGUUAGAGUGUUGGCCUGUGCACCAAAGGGUCAUGGGUUCGAUUCCUGGUCAAGAGCA